rnacentral:rRNA from 1 species
ACUCUGGUAUUGAUUGGUGCUUGCUCAUGAUUUACAUUUGAGUGAGUGGCGAACUGGUGAGUAACACGUGGGAAACCUGCCCAGAAGCGGGGGAUAACACCUGGAAACAGAUGCUAAUACCGCAUAACAACUUGGACCGCAUGGUCCGAGCUUGAAAGAUGGCUUCGGCUAUCACUUUUGGAUGGUCCCGCGGCGUAUUAGCUAGAUGGUGAGGUAACGGCUCACCAUGGCAAUGAUACGUAGCCGACCUGAGAGGGUAAUCGGCCACAUUGGGACUGAGACACGGCCCAAACUCCUACGGGAGGCAGCAGUAGGGAAUCUUCCACAAUGGACGAAAGUCUGAUGGAGCAACGCCGCGUGAGUGAAGAAGGGUUUCGGCUCGUAAAACUCUGUUGUUAAAGAAGAACAUAUCUGAGAGUAACUGUUCAGGUAUUGACGGUAUUUAACCAGAAAGCCACGGCUAACUACGUGCCAGCAGCCGCGGUAAUACGUAGGUGGCAAGCGUUGUCCGGAUUUAUUGGGCGUAAAGCGAGCGCAGGCGGUUUUUUAAGUCUGAUGUGAAAGCCUUCGGCUCAACCGAAGAAGUGCAUCGGAAACUGGGAAACUUGAGUGCAGAAGAGGACAGUGGAACUCCAUGUGUAGCGGUGAAAUGCGUAGAUAUAUGGAAGAACACCAGUGGCGAAGGCGGCUGUCUGGUCUGUAACUGACGCUGAGGCUCGAAAGUAUGGGUAGCAAACAGGAUUAGAUACCCUGGUAGUCCAUACCGUAAACGAUGAAUGCUAAGUGUUGGAGGGUUUCCGCCCUUCAGUGCUGCAGCUAACGCAUUAAGCAUUCCGCCUGGGGAGUACGGCCGCAAGGCUGAAACUCAAAGGAAUUGACGGGGGCCCGCACAAGCGGUGGAGCAUGUGGUUUAAUUCGAAGCUACGCGAAGAACCUUACCAGGUCUUGACAUACUAUGCAAAUCUAAGAGAUUAGACGUUCCCUUCGGGGACAUGGAUACAGGUGGUGCAUGGUUGUCGUCAGCUCGUGUCGUGAGAUGUUGGGUUAAGUCCCGCAACGAGCGCAACCCUUAUUAUCAGUUGCCAGCAUUAAGUUGGGCACUCUGGUGAGACUGCCGGUGACAAACCGGAGGAAGGUGGGGAUGACGUCAAAUCAUCAUGCCCCUUAUGACCUGGGCUACACACGUGCUACAAUGGAUGGUACAACGAGUUGCGAACUCGCGAGAGUAAGCUAAUCUCUUAAAGCCAUUCUCAGUUCGGAUUGUAGGCUGCAACUCGCCUACAUGAAGUCGGAAUCGCUAGUAAUCGCGGAUCAGCAUGCCGCGGUGAAUACGUUCCCGGGCCUUGUACACACCGCCCGUCACACCAUGAGAGUUUGUAACACCCAAAGUCGGUGG